rnacentral:rRNA from 1 species
ACUACGGGUGGCAGCAGUGAGGAAUAUUGGUCAAUGGGCGGAAGCCUGAACCAGCCAAGUCGCGGGAGGGAUGAAGGUUCUAUGGAUCGUAAACCUCUUUUAUAAGGGAAUAAAGUGCGGGACGUGUCCCGUUUUGUAUGUACCUUAUGAAUAAGGAUCGGCUAACUCCGUGCCAGCAGCCGCGGUAAUACGGAGGAUGCGAGCGUUCUCCGGAUUUAUUGGGUUUAAAGGGUGCGUAGGCGGCCUUUUAAGUCAGCGGUGAAAGUCUGUGGCUCAAACAUCGAAUUGCUGGUGAAACUGGGAGGCUUGAGGAUGUUUGAGGCAGGCGGAAUGCGUGGUGUAGCGGUGAAAUGCUUAGAUAUCACGCAGAACCCCGAUUGCGAAGGCAGCCUGACAAGCCCUUACUGACGCUGAUGCACGAAAGCGUGGGGAUCAAACAGGAUUAGAUACCCGUGUAGUC